rnacentral:rRNA from 1 species
GGGAUUGUGGCGACGGGUGAGUACACGUGGGCAAUCUGCCCUUCACUCUGGGACAAGCCCUGGAAACGGGGUCUAAUACCGGAUAACACUCUGUCCCGCAUGGGACGGGGUUGAAAGCUCCGGCGGUGAAGGAUGAGCCCGCGGCCUAUCAGCUUGUUGGUGGGGUAAUGGCCUACCAAGGCGACGACGGGUAGCCGGCCUGAGAGGGCGACCGGCCACACUGGGACUGAGACACGGCCCAGACUCCUACGGGAGGCAGCAGUGGGGAAUAUUGCACAAUGGGCGAAAGCCUGAUGCAGCGACGCCGCGUGAGGGAUGACGGCCUUCGGGUUGUAAACCUCUUUCAGCAGGGAAGAAGCGAAAGUGACGGUACCUGCAGAAGAAGCGCCGGCUAACUACGUGCCAGCAGCCGGGGAAAAUACG